rnacentral:rRNA from 1 species
CACGUAGGGGACGAGCGUUGUCCGGAAUCAUUGGGCGUAAAGGGCGCGUAGGCGGCCAGCGCAAGUCAGUUGUGAAAUCUCCGGGCUUAACUCGGAAAGGUCAACUGAUACUGCGCGGCUAGAGUGCAGAAGGGGCAACUGGAAUUCUCGGUGUAGCGGUGAAAUGCGUAGAUAUCGAGAGGAACACCUGCGGCGAAGGCGGGUUGCUGGGCUGACACUGACGCUGAUGCGCGAAAGCCAGGGGAGCGAACGGG